GCCUGGGUGGCUCAGUCGGUUAAGCGUCCGACUUCCGCUCGGGACACGGUCUCGCGGUUCGUGGGUUCGAGCCCCGCGUCGGGCU
rfam:Felis catus isolate Cinnamon breed Abyssinian chromosome D1, whole genome shotgun sequence.